UCAGACAUGGUGUAGCGGUAACAUCGCCUCUUUGAUUAGUAGAGCAAGUAUUUCAGUCUUAUGAGGCCGUCCCGGGUUCGAAUCCCAGUGUCUGAA